CGACUUACCAGGCGCACCGUCCGGCCGGCUCCAGCGGACGAGAAUGCAUCGCAACAUGGCCUCGCUGUAAACCGAGCGAAACCCCAGUAGAUUGUGUAUUUGACCGGCAAUCCGUCACCAUCGGCGCCUUGAUCAUGGACCUCCGGUCCAGAGGCUUUUUCCGGAGGCAUUGGAGUUGUGAAUAAUAAUCUUCAAGUGCUAUAUUAAUACAUUUUAUACCCUACUCACUUUUGCACGCUCCAUGGAUUUAAAGAACAAGUGACAGCAAUAGCACUCACCCCAAUAAGGGCACCACUUUCCAUUUGGAGGAGAGGACAAGAAACUACACUACAAUUUUUAAGUAACGGACGAUCGGGUGUAAUAUAUAUUUUCCACUGUUGAUUCCAGUUUUCGCUCAUAUCCCUCACAGACACAAUUCAUAACCGGUAAGAAUCCAGUCUGCAAUACCUGCUAUCGAUCUUUGAAAGACAAUUGGAUGAAGGCCCUGCUCUUGUCAGUCCAUUUACAAGAUCGGCUGGCAAGUCAGCGCCACCCUAAUGCAGAACCAAGUGAAAUGAACAAACCACCGCAGCCUAUAACGGGACCCACCUCUGUCCCACACCCCUCCCCCUCCCCUGGACUGACACAGGCUGCCUAUGCCCCAGGUCAGCCCCCUUCUCUCGUCUUCGCCACCCCACCACCUCAACAAAUGAACUCUUCACCGCAACCGCGACAGUUCGCUGCAGGGCCUCGUGCUUUACACCAACAGGGCGGAUACAGGGCACUGCAGCCCUACUAUGCCAACAGGGCCACCAUGUCCACCAGUGCCCCCCGGGUCCAGACCAGCAGCGGGCCUCGUCCGGUGGGUCCCACCCACGUCUACCAGCCCAGCUCCCAGAUGAUGAUGAUCCCUGGGCAGCAGCUGUCCUUUGCUGGCUCCCCUCAGGGCUACUUCAUCCCCCCUGGACAGUACCGGGCUCCCUACAUGCCACCCAGUCCACAAUACCCCGUGACCAGUGGCACGGCAGGCUUCUACCCAGGAACCAGCCCGGCUGAAUACCCCACCUAUGCAGGUGCCUACUACCCGGCCCAGCCCCAGUACAGCCAUACACCCCCUGUCCAAACCGCGCCUGUCAUGAUAAGCCCCGCCCAGCCCCAACAGCAGGCCCUGCCCCCUCAGCCGCCGCCGAUCCAACCACUGGCACCCAAGAGGGAGCGCAAAGCGAUCAGAAUACGAGACCCCAACCAAGGGGGCCGCGAUAUCACAGAGGAGAUCAUGUCCGGGGGAAGGGCCACCUCCACCCCCCCAUCACAGUCCUCCACUUCAGAGGGAGAAGGUCCUUCCCAGACCAACGGAGAAGUUACAAAGCCCGUCACCAUGAUGACGAGAACAGAUGACAACAUGGAACCUGCAGAAACAAUGGCCGCCAUGACCCCGCCUCCUGUGUUGGUGACCCCAGAGCCUGCCACCGCCACCGUCUCAACUGAGGCCAAGCAGGAAAAAGAUAGCCAAGCAGCCCCACCUACCGAACAGGUCGUCAGCCAAUCGGCUGUCCCCACGGCUGCGGGGAAGGCCGAGGAGGCCAUUCCGCCAGAGGAAAACCAGGCCCCUCCCCCAUCCCCCUCGCCCCCGGCAGCUCCUACCUCCCCUCCCCCUGCAGAGGUGCAGACACCACCCCCCCAUCACCACCAUCGCUCAGGUCAGUGACACGGUGGAUGCCGGUGUGACCCUGGCGGGAAAGGCAGUGACUCCUGAAGCUCCUCCCAUUGAGGAAGAGCCUUCGGCCGCCCUAGCAGCCGUCGAGAAGCCUCCUGCUCUGGUAGCGGAGAAAGAGGAGGCAGAGAAUAAAAAGGAAGAAGAAGAAGUAGUAGUGGUGGUGGAGGAGGAGAUUGUAGAGAAGGUAAAGGAGGAGCCUGUGCUUACCACCAAGCCAGAGGUAGUGGCGCCUGUUACGGUGGCGGUCGCUAAAGAACACACUAAGCCCGCUCCACGACCUUUGACUCCCGUUGCCACAGCAACGAUCAAACACUCUGCCCCGGCCGUGAAGCCGGUGGUGUCUGUGGAAGCUCCCACUAAAACUGAGAGCGUGGUCGAGCCGACAGCGCCGAAACAGGAAGCUGCUGUGCCCGUUCCUGCCGUCACCCCCUCUGUCCCGGAGGCAGAGCCCGCCAUGGCCCAGAAGAGCGAGGCGCAGACGCCCCUGUCCAACGGCCUCCCCCAGGAGUACCCCGACGAGGUAGACGCCCCCGUGCCUGCACAAGAGCGAACUGCAAUGCCCAACACCGAGCCUGCCGUUCCCACACCUCAGGAAACUGCUACCCUUGCAGAUGCUGCCGUGGCAGAGGAGGGUGAGAAAGAGGAAGAUGCAGCCACGGUGCCCUUGGCCAGUAGCCCUUCAGAGGACACGUCUAUGCAAGCUGCUGUGUCUGUGCCAAAGAAGAAGAGGAACAUGAAGGAGCUGAACAAGAAGGAGGCCAUAGGAGACAUGCUGGAUGCCUUCAAAGAGGAGAAGGAGGCGGCGGCUGCCCCCGAGCCCUUGUCCACUCUGGUGGAGCCCAGCCCUGUUGCCCCUCCCCCUUUGGUGACAGCCGACGCGCCAGACGAGACGUGGGAGGAGAAGGAGGACAAGCAGAACGCCGACACGCCCCCGCUCAAACCAGGCGACCUCAAGUACCAGUACAAAGGAGAGCAAUGGAAGCCUAUCGACCCGGAGGAUAAGAAGAGGUACGACAGGGAGUUCCUGCUGGGCUUCCGGUACAUUGGUGCCAGCAUGAACAAGCCUGAGGGCCUGCCUCUUAUCUGCGAUGUGGUGUUGGAUAAGGCCAAUAAGACCCCCAUGCGCCCAGCGGAGCCGGGUCGCAACAUGAUGAACGCCGGGCCAGACUUCACCCCCGCCUUCAUGGGUAACCUGGGCAGACAGUCCUCCGGAGGUGGGGGAGGGGGACCACGGGGCCCUGGAAGGGACCAUAUGGGACCCCCAGGACCCCGGCGCUCCCAGCAGGGCCAGCGCAAGGAGCCCCGCAAGAUCAUCAUCUCCUCAUCGCUAGGCGGCGACGUGGAGCUCAACAAGGCAGAGAAAGCCUGGAAGCCCGCGGUGAAGAUGGCGGGGAGCCGCGGGGCCGCCCCCGAGGAGGAGGAGAGCGACGACCCCGAGCAGGCCAAGACCCAGGAGCUGUUCAAGAGGGUCCGCUCCAUCCUUAACAAGCUGACCCCUCAGAUGUUCCAGCAACUGAUGAAACAGGUCACGGAGCUGACCAUCGACACGGAGGAGCGGCUGAAGGGAGUGAUCGACCUCAUCUUUGAGAAGGCCAUCUCCGAGCCCAACUUCUCCGUGGCCUACGCCAACAUGUGCCGCUGCCUUAUGGGGUUGAAAGUGCCCACCACAGACAAGCCGGGAGUGACUGUGAACUUCCGUAAGCUGCUGCUGAACCGCUGUCAGAAGGAGUUUGAGAAGGACCAGGACGACGACGUGAUCUUUGAGGCCAAACAGAAGGAGAUGGAGGCCGCAAAAGAGGAGGAGAAAGCCGGUCUGAAGGCGGAGCUGGAGGAGGCGAAGGACAAGGCGCGCCGGCGGUCGCUGGGCAACAUCAAGUUCAUCGGCGAGCUGUUCAAGCUGAAGAUGCUGACGGAGGCCAUCAUGCACGACUGCAUCGUCAAGCUGCUGAAGAACCACGACGAGGAGUCGCUGGAGUGCCUCUGUAGACUGCUGUCCACAAUCGGCAAGGACCUGGACUUUGAGAAGGCCAAGCCCCGUAUGGACCAGUACUUUGCCCAGAUGGACAAGAUCAUCAAGGAGAAGAAGACCUCGUCCAGGAUCCGCUUCAUGCUGCAGGACGUCAUCGACCUCAGACGGAGUGGCUGGGUGCCCCGGCGAGGGGAACAAGGCCCGAAGACCAUAGACCAGAUCCACAAGGAUGCUGAGCGAGAGGAGCAAAUGCAGCUGGUCAAGGUCCAACAGCAGCUUAUGUCAAGGAAUGACAGUGGUGGUGGAGGAGGAGGGGGUGGUGGUGGAAGAGGAGGUGGUGGUGGUGGAGGAAGAGACGGCAGGGGGGGAGACCGAGACAGAGGAGGAAGGGAUCAGGGGGGCCGUGGGGGCCAGCACGGCGGCCAGGGGGCUAGGGGCAGCCAGCCCCAGGACGAAGGCUGGAACACAGUGCCCAUCUCCACCAAGAACAGACCCAUCGAUACCAGCCGGCUCAGCAAGAUCACCAAGCCUGGUGCUCUGGACUUCAACAACCAGCUCCUUGCGCCCCAGCUCGGGGGUAAGGGCAUGUGGGGCAGCUGGGGCAAGGGCAGCAGUGGAGGCACCACGGGAGCCAAGCCUGCUGCCGGAGCUGAACCGGCAGCGGAGACUGGCCGUCCGGCCACUGGCAACCGUUUCUCUGCCUUGCAGCAGUCUGCUCCACCAGCGUCCUCGGAUGCUGACCGCAGGGUACCCCAGAGGUCCAGCUCCAGUCGUGACCGCGGCGGGGACCGGGACAGGUUCGACCGCUUCGAGCGGCGCGACGGUAGUCGCGACGCCCGCCCGCCUAUCACCAAGCGCAGCUUCAGCCGCGAGACAGAGGAGCGUAGGAGCGAUAGUCGCACCCCUACGGAACCCCCCGUCCGGCGCGUAGCUAGCAUGUCUGACGACCGGAACAGAGGCAGCCGUGACCGGGGAGGCAGCGGUAGCCGGGACAGGGCUCCUAGCAAGGAGGCUGUUGUGAAGCGUGAGACAGGCCCCACCCUUCCCCCCGCUGCUCCGGCCAAACCGGCCAUGACCGAGGAGGAGCUGGACAAGAAGUCCAGCGCCAUCAUCGAGGAGUAUCUCCAUCUCAAUGACAUGAAGGAGGCGCUGCAGUGUGUAGGGGAGCUGAACAGCGCCCCGCUGCUCUUUGUGUUUGUGCGGAACGGCCUGGAGGACACUCUGGAGCGCAGCGCCAUCGCCAGGGAACGGAUGGGCCUGCUACUGCACCAACUUCUCAAGGCCGGCACCCUGCCCACAACACAGUACUACAAGGGGCUCAAGGAGAUCCUGGAGGUGGCUGAGGAUAUGGCCAUAGACAUCCCCCACAUCUGGCAAUACCUGGCUGAGCUCAUCACCCCCAUGCUCCAUGACGGAGGCAUCCCCAUGGGACAGCUCUUCAGGGAGAUCUCCAAGCCCCUGGUUCCCCUGGGUAAGGCUGGUCUGCUGCUGGUGCAGAUUCUCAACUUACUCUGCAAAGGAAUGACUCAUAAGAAGGUGGGUGGUCUGUGGACGGAAGCAGGGCUCAACUGGAGAGACUUCCUGCCAGAGGAUGAGGACGUCAAUAAGUUUGUGACUGAACAGAAAAUUGAGUUUACCCUGGGGGAGGAGUCGGAUGAGACCAAUCAGAAGAAGCCCAUGAGCGGGGAGGAGCUUAGCAAACAUCUGGACAGACUGAUCCAGGACAGGGCUAACAACCAGCGCAUCAGAGACUGGGUCGAGGCCAACCUGGACGAACAGCAGGCGGCUGCCAACCAGUUUGUGCGCGCUCUGAUGACCUCCAUUUGCCAGUCAGCUGUUAUAUGUGAGAACCCGUACAAGGUGGACGUGGAGCAGAUUACCCAGAGGGCCAAGCUGCUGCAGCGGUACCUGAGUGACGAGCAUAGGGAGCUGCAGGCACUUUACGCCCUCCAGGCCCUCAUGGUGCACAUGGAGCAACCGGCCAAUCUGCUGCGGAUGUUCUUUGACGCCCUGUACGACGAGGACGUGAUCAAAGAGGAGGCCUUCUACAGGUGGGAGUCCAGCAAAGACCCCGCAGAGCAGACCGGCAAGGGCGUGGCCCUUAAGUCGGUCACCGCCUUCUUCACCUGGCUCCGCGAGGCCGAAGAGGAGUCCGACAAGGACUGAAUGGCCUCUCUAAAACCACCACCGCCCUCUAUGGCUAGGGAGGUGUAUUGCAAAGGGGAGCCCGAGGAGAGAAUUGGACUCUGUGGCCCUUUUUUUAUGUGGCGGACUGAUAUCGAUCCUCAGCAAGGCUUUUUAGAGAGGGACCUGACAUGCAAUCACUUUCUCUCUUCUCUCUCUCGCUCACUUCCUCAUUCUCUUUUCCCUCUUUUGUGAUGGCGUGUGUCCGCCGAAAAUGAAAUAAAUGAUUGAGACGGAUUUUGCUUGUGUAAACGCGUGGAAUAACUACUACGGUCACUGCGUAUAAAACCAUUUUGACUUGUUGUUCUUGAGAAAACAAUGACAAACCAACACGCUGCUCUUUGUGGUUGUAGACAAAAAUUAUAUUAUGCAACAUACUAUAUGACACGCAAACGCAUAGAGACAAUGGUAGAGGUGUCAUGUAGCAUGUUUUUCCCUUGGAGUGGGGUAUCAUGCCAUGCGUGUGUGUGACGUCCGAUCGAACACAGAGCUCUGUCUUCUCUUUUUUUUUUGUGUGUGUGUGUGUGCGCAGCAUGGUUGAAGUGUUUCUUUUUAAUGAUGUAGACGAGGUAUGUUUGCUGAUCAGCUGACAUCAAGCGUAUGUUGCCGACUAUAGAGGCUCUGAAUGGCUUUCUGAGCGACGGUUCUUUUCCUUUUUCCCACUUCCUGUUUACCGCAGUACUGGGACUUUGAGGACAGAGAAACAAGAUGGGGGGUGGAUUAUGACCUUUGACCAUUAGCCUCUGACCUUGGCUACUGGAGGACGGUGGGGGUCUUCUAUAUGCUUCCUUAAAGCCUACCUUUCACUUCCUCCCCCAGUAGUCAAUCCUGACUUGAGAUACUGCGUCUUUUACCUCUCCUGUAGUUACAUGAUGAACUGUUGGGCGCGUUCUCUCUCGACCCCUGUCGAAUGAGAAAACAAACCCCAUAACUAGAGGACUCCUUAAUGACAAAAAUCACCAUUAAAACUUGAAACCUACAGAAAUCAACUUGAUGAAAUAAGAAAAACAGAAAUGAUCCGAAAGCCUUUUCUACUUUAAGUGGAAUCACAUUUCAGGAGCGUUCUGUACAUAUAUAUUAAAGUUGUUGUUUUUUUGUCAGUUUUAUUUUUCAGAAAUAAUAAAAAAUAAAUUACUGAUGUAAUGUAAACUAUAAAAUGCUGUAUCAUUUUCCAACAGAAGUGGCAGUUUGUCCAGAUGCAGAGAGGGGUGCUUUAGGUCACCCAUUGAUUAGUUUUAUUGGACUUUUGUAAAUAUUUUGUUGCUUUCUUUAUUAUUUAAGGAAUUACUGCUUCUUUUUGCAUCAUAAACUGGAAAAGAUGAGGAAACCGAAAAUUGCAAAUAAAAGACUUGUUGCUGA